AAAUUAAUCCUUUUAAGAAUAUAUGUCCCAUCAUAAUUGUAAAAAAGUAUUUUUAUUGUACUUUUGUUUGAAAAGAAGAAAUGUGAUUGGCUUGUUAUUGAUGACGUGGUGCAAGUGUGACAGUGUAGAAUUCCUCCUAAAACAGGGGCGGUUUGAUUCCAUAUAAAACUGUAAAAAAAAAAAAAAUUUUGGUGAAAAAAAUUUCGAAGAAAAAUAAAUUUACGGUCUCUAGAGUUUGAUUUAGAGGAAAAUCUUUUUUUUUUCUGUUAUAAUUGUUUGGUUGAAAGGAAGAAAAAGAAAGAAAAAAAUAAUUAAAAAUUAUUAUAUGUAUUUUUUUUCUAUUAUACAUAUUAUAUAUUAUUGAAAUAUAAUAAUUAUCACACUACAUAUAUUAAAAUUAUAUUGUAUGCUAAAUUGAUAAGUAUAUAAUAUAAUAUAUGUAAUAAUAUGUAUAUUGUACUAUAUAAUAAAAAUAUAAAAUAUAUA
rnacentral:lncRNA from 1 species